rnacentral:lncRNA from 1 species
AUGGCCUUCUCAAAUCUGCACAAAGUACUCAUCAGUGACAGCCUAGACCCCUGCUGCCAGAAGAUCCUUCAAGAUGGAGGGCUGCAGGUGGUGGAGAAGCAGAACUUGGCAAGGAGGAGCUGAUAGCUGAACUCCAGGACUGUGAAGGCCUUAUCGUCCAGUCAGCUACUAAGGUCACUCUGCUGAUGUCAUCAAUGCAGCAGAGAAUCUCCAGGUGGUGGGCAGGGCUGGUAUGGGCAUGGACAAUGUGGAUCCGGAGGCUGCCAAGAGGAAGGGCAUCCUAGUCAUGAACACCCCCAACAGGAACAGCCUCGGUGCUACGGAGCUCGUCUGUGGAAUGAUCAUGUGCCUGGCCAGACAGAUUCCCCAGGCAACGGCUUCGAUGAAAGAUGGCAAAUGGGACCAGAAGAAGUUUAUGGGGACAGAACUGAACAGGAAAACAUUGGGAAUUCUUGGCCUAGGCAGAAUCAGAAGAGAGGUGGCUGCCACCCGAAUGCAGUCCUUUGGAAUGAAGACUGUAGGCUAUGAUCCCAUCAUUUCUCUUGAAGUCACGGCCUCCUUUGGUAUUCAGCAGCUGCCUCUGAAGAGGAUCUGGCCUCUGUGAUUUUGCAACUGUCCAUACCCCUCUCCUGCCAUCCACCACAGGGUUGCUGAAUGACAUCACCUUUGCUCAGUGCAAGAAAGGCAUGUGAGUGGUGAACUGUGCUCAAGGAGGCAUUGUGGAUGAAGGUGCCCUGCUGCGUGCCCUGCAGUCUGAUCAGUGUGCUGGGGCUGCACGGGAUGUGUACAGAAGAGCCACCACGGGACCGGGCCUUGGUGGACCACGAGAACAUCAUCAGCUGUUCCCACGUGGAUGCCAGCACCAAAGAGGCCCAGAGCCACUGUGGGAAGGAAAUGGCAGUCCAGUUUGUGGACAUGGUGAAGGGGAAAUCUCUAACAGGGGUCAUAAAUGCUCAGGCCCUUACCAGUGCCUUCUCUCCACACACCAAGCCUUAGAUUGGUCAGGCAGAAACAUUGGUCACACUGAUGGCUCCCCUAAAGGGACCAUCUCGGUGGUUACACAAGGAACAUCUCUGAAGAAUGCUGAGACCUGUUUGAGCCCUGCAGUCAUUGUGGGCCUCCUGAGAGAAGCAUCCAAGCAGGCAGAUGGUGAACACUAAGCUACUGGUGAAAGAGGCUGGUCUCAAUGUCAUCACUUCCCACAGCCCUGGGGUCCCAGGCAAGCAGGGCCUCCUGACUGUGGUCCUGGCAGGUGCCCCCUACCAAGCUGUGGGCUUGGUUCAGGGCACCACACUAAUGCUGCAGGUGCUCAACGGAGCUGUCUUCAGGCCAGAGGUGUCAUUAUGCAGGCGCCAGGCCUUGCUCAUGUUCUGGGUUCAGUCAGCCAACCCUGUAAUGCUGCCCACUAUGAUUGGCCUCCUGACAGAGGCAGGUGUACAGCUGCUGUCCUACCAAACCUCCAAAGUAUGACAGAGAGACCUGGCAGGUCAUGGCCUCUCCUCCCUGCAGCCCAGCAUGGAAGCAGUAUGUAUCUGAGGCUUUCCAGUUCUGCUUCUGA